AAUCUCAAGGAAGCUCUUUGGGAGCCAGGAUUCCCAGCACUUAGCUGGUGGGCAAAGGGGUUCAACCCCUUCCCCACACCCCACCUUCCCUCCUCCCAGUCUUCGGGAUUGCGGAGCUCCUGCCGGGAUCCAAGAGCAGGCUCUUGGAGGUCGAAGAAGGAUAUAACCUCCAGACCUGGAAUUUAAGACGCAAGAACCAGCCAGCAAAAGUGGCAGCCGAGCAUGCGAGGGACUGCUGAUGGCUUUUUAUUAGGAAGCUAUGCAACUUGAGGUUCUACUGAAAAGGAGAAGAGGCCACUGGAGAUGGGAAGCCACGAAAACACAGAUAAACAAGAAAGACCAUCUGAAUGUGUGCAAAGGAGGGAAAGAUGAGGAAGAGGCAGAUGAUGGACCGGUUUCAAUGACAGCCAGAAUCUCUUUCACUACUUGUGUCCCAUGCUGAGAAGAAGGAGGCUGGAUGGAGAGAGCUUCAGUGUUUUGGGUAGAGCUGGUUGACUAGAGAGGAGGGACGAGAAACUACAGCAUUACUUCUGCAGAUUCACAAAGGAGUCCACGUUCCAAGAUGAGAGAAAUACCAGUGAGUCAUGUUCCUUUCCGUUUAGAAGAGAUAAUAUUGAGAUUCCAAGGAUGCUUUUCAAACCAGGAAUGAUGACCGGAAUAUUUGAUGCUAUUGAGCUAUUUACUAAUGUUGCUGCCUUACAGGAAGCCGAUGGCUAUUCUACUUGACUGAAUGAAAAGAAAAGGAAGGCACUUCCUGUCAAUCCUGCUUUGGAUUCCUAGACAGUUUAAGAAGCACCAUUGAUCUGAUCAUUGGCACUGAGGAGGAAAUGCCCAUCCGCAGAAGACAUGCAGGGCUCAACCCAGCUUGACAUGGGCAGUGAGUGGUUUCUGAUGUAACCCUUUCUGUAAACUACCCCCUCACACACAUGUAAACCCCUGCUUCCUCCUUUAAGUAGCCACAUUGGUGGUGCCUCUGUUGUAAGGUUACAGGGGAGAAUGACUAGACAGUAGUGAGGAAAGCAUUUGGGAAGGUGAUUCGUUUCUGUUUUUCUGGUACUCUCCCAAAACAGGAGAUACUCUUGUUGCAUAGAUGCAGUCAGUGGUUUCUUGCAGUCAGUGGUUUCUUGGAUUUGGGGAGUUAAAAGUCAUGUGACACAGGCCUAUUGACACAUCGAUGUGAGGAGUUUAAGGUAAUGCUGCUGUGAUUGAGAAGAAUCGCCCCAGUAAAGCUUUAGCAUGAAGCCAAGCAGCUUAUAAUGACACAGGAUUCUCAAUGAAUGAAGUUUUAAGGGAUAAAAUCUUUACAAUGAAAUAAAAACAAUCUUAAGAAAACGAUUAGGCUCUAGUAAAAAUAAGCUGUGUUUUAAGAGUGGUUUCUAUAUUCAGCGUUAUUAUCCUUCACUUAUACUCAGAUAAAUAUGUUAUGCUCAAGCUGGCUCAUAGUCUUCAGAAAUAAGAAUGGACAUUAUACUUUGAUGUAAUAUCAACAUGUUGCAUAUACAAAGUAAACACUUUUGGUGAUAAAAAA
rnacentral:lncRNA from 1 species